rnacentral:rRNA from 1 species
UCCAGAAUCGGAGGACGAGACCCAACACACAAGCCGGGCUUGAGGGCAGCAAUGACGCUCGGACAGGCAUGCCCCCCGGAAUACCAGGGGGCGCAAUGUGCGUUCAAAGACUCGAUGAUUCACUGAAUUUGCAAUUCACAUUACGUAUCGCAUUUCGCUGCGUUCUUCAUCGAUGCCGGAACCAAGAGAUCCGUUGUUGAAAG